ensembl:lincRNA
CUCUUCCCAGGGCCACCGCCCCGCACAAGAAGCAACAAGCACUUUGCAAACAAAAUUUUAUUCAGCCCUUACCCAAACCAAAUAUUUUCCCCCAUUUUUUGUUUCUGUUUUUGUUUUUGUUUUUCCCCCAUUUUUCAGAUGAGAAAAUUAAGGCACACAGAGGAGGGAGCCAAGAAAAGCCUGAGCCGGAGCCAGGCCUGGGCUCACUGCUUUCUGAGAACACAGGAGUAAACAAGACCCACACAGGCCUGACCUCCCCGUGAGGGCAACAGCUGAGAAACAAGAUGAAUCAUAGGCUGUGGCCCAGUAUGGAGGAUGCAGGGAGAGAUGGAGGAGGAGAGGAGGGAGCGCCGGCCGGGAGUUCACUGCUAAGGGCAGCCAUGGAGGCCCUGCUGAGAAGAGCAAAGGCCCGAAGAGAGGAGGGAGAGCCUGUGCCUUCAUCACUGGGGGAACAGCAUUCAGAGCAGAGGGGAUGGCAAGUGCAAAGACCCAGAGGCAGGGAGUUUCGCGGAGCCUGGUGGUGCCAGGCAUGAAGGCAAAGAAGCAGCUGGGCUUUAUCCUGAGAGCAAAAGGGAGCCAUAGCAAGGCUGGGGCGAGGCAGGCUGGAGUCAGAUGUGCUGUAAGACAGAGUGGGCCGGGGAGCUCAGGCAGGAGCUGGUGUACAAGAGGAAAGAACCGUCAGAGGCUGGGUGGCUGGGGUGGGGGCAGGAAGAGGACUUGCCCACCUCCUUGCCAUGUGAACAUCCCGAAUUCAGUCUGCCUUGGAGGAAGCCGGAGAAAGGCCAGCAGGGGAAGCGGACUCUGCUGACUCACAGGCUGCGCCUACCAACUUCCUCCGGGAGCCCUAAACUCAGACAGCAGGGCAGGGAGCCCUCGGCGAGGGGAUACAGAGGGAGCAAUCACAACGGUGGCCCAGAAUGCAAAGGGGUUAAGAGGGUGACCUGCCAGCGUGGCGGGGGCACCAGGGAGGGCCCCCUUCAGUUGGCCAAAGACGGGAGGAAGAGUCACAGGCAGAGGAAACAGCACCUGCGGCGGCCGGAGCCCAGGCAGGACACCAUCCCCGAGCCGGGGCACACCGGCCUGCACGCGGGGGGCUGCCGGCAAGGAGGGCUUCUGCCACCACGCAGGGUUUGUUGGUGGGGGUCCCGUCCCCACCACCACCACCAUAAACUUCUCUGUUCUCGCCACAAGAAUAAAAUAAUCAGCACACUUGGAAAAGAAAGAAAGGAACUGCCCAGGCCGGUGCAGCUCUGCAGCAGAGCGCUUGCGCUUGCCGAGCAGUUGAGACUCUGGGCUCCGGCCCCAGGGCUGGAAAUUGUUCUUUGGAGAGGUGAGGACGUCAGGCACGGAGAGCAGAGAAAACAUCAGCCUUGGGAAGAGAGCAGAGACAGCACAACACCCAUGACACCGAUGCCCGAGGCAGCUCUGCAGGAGGAAAAGGCCGCUGCCUCUUUAGGAAACAUCAGGAGCGAGCCAGGCAUUCCGCCAGAACGGAGCAAGCGGCAGAGAUGGAGAUAAGUAAUCAGCUGCCGCUCCUGGGUACCAACAUCGUGACAAGGGCUUCCCGAUAUUAUUUCUAUUUUUAUGAAUUGUCAUGGUGUGUUUGGGUUACAAAACUAAGAGACUCGAGGUAAAAAAAUAAUAAUGAGAGAGAAGAGGAGGGGGAGGAGACAACUUCGAGCUUUACGGAAAUACAUAACUCACUUGUCUCUGGUCACACACAGGCCUGCUGCAUGUCCCCAAAUGCUCCAGGCCUGCCUGCCCCAGGGCCUUUGCACUUGUUUCCUAUUCAUGGGCUGUUCUUCCCAUGCACAUAGCCCUCUCCUGCCUACUCUCCAGGGGCCUCCUGAUCGAGCGGCAGCCCCUCUGUCACCCACACCCACCGCCUCCUCACCACACUUAGUGCUGCCCGGCAUUAGAGGAGUUCGCUGUCUCUCCACCACCCGUGGAAUCGGCCCCACAGCCCCUUUUGACUGCUGUGGCCCCUGCAGGUGUGCAGCAAACACGCACUGCCAGGUGAGUGACAAAACGCAUAUCAGAUCGCAAUGCGCCUCCUCCGGGAAAGGAGUCCUCUGCAGGCAGCGCUGGCUCUCAUGUGCCCCGCAUGCAGCAGGUGUUUUGGCGUGAACAGAGGGACAGGUGGACGGAGGGACAGAGGUGCGGGGAGGGCCGGGGCCAUUAGGAACGACAGAUACGACAGCAGAGAAACAAGAGAAGAAAACACCACUGGUCCAGGCUUCUGCACGCCUGUCCUUUCCUAACAGCCACCUCAAAUACGAGCUCCUUGAAUCCUCCCAAUGGCCCCAGGAAGGUGGUUUUAUUUUAAGCCCGUUUUCCAGAUGAGGAAACUGAGGCUGAGCAAGGCAGCCUCUCCAGCUCCUCCCAGGCCCCUGGUGAGGACGGGGUGAGUGAGGCCCGGUCUGUGUGCAGCAGGUGCCGAGCUGAGCAGACUGGAGGGGAUUCGGGCCCAGGGCCGUGAGCCUUCCAACACUCACGAGAGAAGCCACUGUCCAGGUUUUCACAUGAAAUCUCUCACUAGUCGAUGUCGGCGAGCAAAUGAAAAUCUUAGAAAACAUCGCAGAACAAAGGAAGCACCUGAAACCCUCAGCCCAGGCUUGGGACUGGGGGAGCAGGAUGUCCUGGGGCAGACAGAAGGCUUCCAGGACGAGGUGGAAGAGGCUUUGGGCGAGGAGCCCAAGAAGGGCCUUGGCUCGGAUCCCCUUGGGCCUGGGGGAGCUGAGCUGCCCUGAGGGCCCUGGGCCGCUCUGAGCCUCCCACCCACCAGCUGGAGGGACCCAAGACACCGCACCCGGUGGCCGGAGGCCCAGCCAGGGCUGGCAGCCGCACGCAGGCGCCUUCCUCUGCUGGCUGCUGGAAAGAGCACCACCUCAAGCGGAACACAGCUAAAGCUCAGGACAUAAAAGCGCUGGCUUCAAGGGGAAUUGCAACACUUCAGCGCAAUGCCCUUGAAAUAUCGUAUUCCAGCAGCCAGUCAAGCUGUGUGCCGGGACAGCCCCCGUUUUCUCCUUGGCUAUGUGAGAAUUCUCUCCGGCAGGGGUCUGGGUCCUAACUCACCGCUGCCUGGAGAGGACUCACAGUAGGGUAGGGCAGGCAGUGACGGUGUGGAGCGGGUGUGGAGGGCGUCCCGGGGCCUAAACGCCGCUGGGGCCAAGCUCUUAGAAAGUAGGUGGCACAUUGUGAGCGCUAGAGAAACGGCGUGAUAAUCAGGGUUAACUACGUGAUGCACACCAUUUCAAGUCACAGUGUGACGAACAGGGGACCCUGGAGACACCGGCAUGAGCGCAUAUGUAGUUAAACAUAGACAAGACGGCAGAGAGUAGAAACACUGCUAGCCCCGUGACCACACGGAAGCCGACCGGCACAUACACUCCUUUGCUUUGUUAGCUGAAAAGACCUAAAAGAAAUGUCAGCCCCGUGGCACUGUGCACACCUGGCAUCCGAUGCCGUCUCCCAUGAAAGGAUCUCGACC